rnacentral:ncRNA from 1 species
UCGUUUCAUUGUACAUCUGCUAAUUACGGAUGGUUCAGUGCAAUGAUGCGAACAACUGAAUAACAACCAGUGGACUACUGAACAGGAAGCUGCAAUUCGAAACGGAGAAAUCCGUGUUGGACUGCGGUCAGAGUUUUUCACCCUUUUCAGUCGUGAA